rnacentral:lncRNA from 1 species
GGGAACUCUCACAUACCUUGCAUUGCAGCGCCGCAACCCGCGGCAUUGUCCCGCGCAGUUUGCCGAAACCAACUCGUUGCCCCUGCCCCUGCAAUGCGCUGGGCCAGACGGCUGCGUGCAUCAACCUUGCUCCUAACUGUCUCAUUCCCCUGACCUACCACCACUGCGAAGCCCCUCACACCUACAAGCCCCUUGCCAACUGCAUGCCCGCUGGACCGCAACCGGAACUCCAACCGGAUCGUCUGGGGCUCAUCCAGUCACACGUCACCCUGAGACCACAACACAGAAUGCUCCAUCACUUAUGUCUCUCCCGUUGGGGUUGGGUUUUGCCCCGCCCCCGCCGGGGUACUACUAGUAUCACGCAUGUCCCUCAGGCCUGGGGCCAUCAUCGGGCUCGGUGCACGCGCACCAACAAUGGUGCACGUCACGGCCAUGUCCACGUCCUAGACAUCCAACUCACGCAUCCUAGCGCGACUCAAGCUGCUGAGCCAUCUACGUAAGCACCUGCAACGGCCACGUCCCCCCAUCAGUAGACAGGCGCAGGAGCGAAGAAUUCUCCACAGCCGCCGCGCUAUUCCGCACCACCUGUCUAGCACGCAUGGCCCACAGCCACCAACACACAUGCUUGCCGGCUCAGCAGCCGCCGCAGUACAGCCUGCAUGGGGGGGCAGGGGGGCGGGGGGCAGGGGGGCAGUUGUUGUUGUUGUGCCCCAACCCUGCCCCAACCCUGCCCCAACCCUGCCCAAAACCUGCCCAGAACCUGCCAUCCCAAACCUGACCCAACCCUGACGACCCAACCAGUUGAGGCGGAGUGACGGAGCAGAAGCAGAGCAGAAGCAGAGCAGAAGCAGAGCAGGCAGCAGCAGAGCGCCAGGCGCUCGAGUUAGCAUCACCAUCCAUUGAGGAGCGCGCGAGAGAGCGAGCGAGCGCAGGCAAGAGCAGGCGCCGAAAUGCGGCAACGUUGCGCGCGCGGUCUCACCUGCGGCCGCGGCGGCUGCAGCUGCGAUAGCUGUGUGUCGGUGCUGUUCCUUGCGGAGCUGGCAGGGCCUUAUGGCCCGCCCGCUCACGCACAGGCGGAAAAGGAGCGAUACCGGCGCGGCUGCGAGUACUUGUGGCCGCUGCGGUUCCCAUCGCGGCGCCCGAUCCGUGCGAUCCUAAGACCGGCCCCCUUUGGACCGUUGUUUUUCC